GCCCAGCAUGGUGGCACAUGCCUAUAAUCUGCUGCCAGGGAGGCUGAGGCUUGAGCUCAAGGGCUCUGAGCUGCAGUGGGCUAUGCACAGUAGAUGAUGAUCACUCUAAGUUUGGCAUCAAUAUGGUGAGCCACUGGGAGCAGGGUAGAUCACCUAAAGAAGGAAGAAUCAGUCCAGGUCAGAAAUUGAGCAGAAAAAAGCUUUUGUGCUGAUCAGUAUUGUGAACAGGCUUGUGAGUGGUUCCUAUGCCUUUAGCCUGAGCAAAACAGGGAAACCUU
rnacentral:SRP_RNA from 1 species